rnacentral:rRNA from 1 species
GAUGAACGCUAGCGGCAGGCCUAACACAUGCAAGCCGAGCGGUAUUUGUUCUUCUGCCCAGAGAGAGCGGCGCACGGGUGCGGAACACGUGUGCAACCUGCCUUUAUCUGGGGGAUAGCCUUUCGAAAGAAAGAUUAAUACCCCAUAAUAUAUUGAGUGACAUCAUUUGAUAUUGAAAACUCCGUUGGAUAGAGAUGGGCACGCGCAAGAUUAGGUAGUUGGUGAGGUAACGGCUCACCAAGACAAUGAUCUUUAGGUGGCGAGAGAGGGUGAUCACCCACAGUGGGACAGAGGCAAGGACGAGACUACUACGCGAGGCAGCAGUGGGGAAGAUGCGACAAUGGGUAAGAGCCUGAUCCAGCGGACACGCGUGAACAGCGACGGCCCGAUAGGUUGUAAACUUCUUUUGUAGAGGGAUAAAACUACUCUCGAGAGAGUAGCUGACGGUACUAGACGAAUAAGCACCGGCUAACUACGUG